AAUACGUUCCCGGGUCUUGUACACACCGCCCGUCAUACCACGAAAGUCAGUAACACCCGAAGUCGUGCUUCGAGUACGCCGAAGGUGAGAUUGAUGAGUUGGGGUA
rnacentral:rRNA from 1 species